GCUCAGAAACUUAAAGGAAGUGACGGGGCCCGCACAAGCGGUGGAGUAUGUGGUUUAAUUCGAUGCAACGCGAAGAGCCUUACCUGGUCUUGACAUCCCGGAGACCCUUAGGAAACUAGGGGGUGCUUCCAUCUGGAAGAAUCUGGAGACAGGUGCUGCAUGGCUGUCGUCAGCUCGUGUCGUGAGAUGUUGGGUUAAGUCCCGCAACGAGCGCAACCCUUGCCUUUAGUUGCCAGCAGUUCGGCUGGGCACUCUAAAGGGACUGCCGGUGUUAAACCGGAGGAAGGUGGGGAUGACGUCAAGUCCUCAUGGCCUUUAUGACCAGGGCUACACACGUACUACAAUGGCCGAUACAAAGGGCAGCGACACUGCGAGGUGAAGCCAAUCCCGUAAAAUCGGUCUCAGUCCAGAUUGGAGUCUGCAACUCGACUCCAUGAAGUUGGAAUCGCUAGUAAUCGUGGAUCAGCAUGCCACGGUGAAUACGUUCCCGGGCCUU
rnacentral:rRNA from 1 species